AACACCGUAAUGGAUUUGAGCGACAAGCCUAAUACCGAGUCAAAGCCCAAAGAGGAGGAGGAGGAAAAACCAGAUCCGCAAAAACCGAGAAGUGGCCAGCCAAAAGACAAAGUUUUCACAAAGUAGAGUAACAAAUCCGGGGGCCGAAAAUGACUGAUUAUUCAUAUAGCAAACACUCUUGGUCGAACUCCAGUAAACCCACAAGAUACCACUUUGAUGUCCUUAAUGAAGAAUGAUGUAGACG